UCUUUACUGCUGUAAUAGUCUGUAUGGUUCCACUUCCCAGAUUCUUCUGAAAAGAAACCCUCCACACUGGCAGAAGAUCAGCAGGCAACAUACACAUUGUUAGAGAACAUCAAGCUAAGUAUUCAACACAAUGAUGUUAUGAAGCCAAUCAACCUCCUCCUACAGAAAGUUAAACCAGAUGUGAAACGACAGAGGAGUUUUUAUAGGGAAAUUCUUUUCCUGUCUCUGGUGUCUCUUGGAAGAGAAAACAUUGACAUUGAGGUCUUUGAUAGUGAGUACAGACUUGCACUUAAAACACUACCAAAGGAAGUUCUUGAAAAGAUGCAGAGAAUAGACGUUCCACCAAGCAGCAGGGUUGAGUGUUGCAGGAAGUGGUUUGGAGCACCUUUAAUAUAAAAACAAGGAAGACACACACCAUACUUCGGAGAGACAAAAGCAGAGCUGAACAAACCCAAGAGCAUGGUGACACACACUUUUGAGCCUCAAAAGGUGUUAAUCGAGCAAUUUGUCAAACCAGUUUCAUUGAACUGCAACAUGUAUUCUUCUCACUCAUGUCAUGGGCACAUUGUAAAAUUUGUCAAAAUGUUUUAAAAUGAUGAGUUUGUUUCAGUGGCUGAUCUGCUUUUCCCCUAUAUAUAUAUAUUCUUUAAUUUCCUCAAAAUUUUCCUCCACAAUAUCAAAUUAUUCAAAAAGCUGAUGAUGAAACAGUAGUCUAUAGCUGGUGACUUUCUUAAGGGCCACCAGUACUGGUGUAUUUUAAUGAAGUACUUUUCCAGUACUCAGGUUCUUCAAUGCUUCUUUAAAAUGAUCUUUACCUAGAGGGGCGUCCUUUUAUUAGUGUGUGGUAUGGUUGUAUGAAUGUAAAUAUUUGUAACCUUGGAUUGGAAGCUGCAAUGCAGUUGCUUUCAUCAGACAGUAUAUUAAAUUGCUACCCUUCUCCUGACUCUUGUCCCCGUCAGUAUUCUGAACUACCUUUGCUAACCUUUUCAAAAUGUUUAUCUACAGCUGUGAGAAAACAGAGACUUACACUCAACUUUCCUAUAUUCUCUAUCUGAUAAACUGUAACAUUCUGUAAACGUACUGGCUGCUUUCUCCAAAGAAAGAUAAGCUUCUACACAAAGCAGCUGAGAAAUGGAUGGCUUUCUAAAAAUUAUGUAGGAAGCUCAAAUGGUAUUAGAAUACACACAAGAAUUGUGUGUAAUACACACAGAUACUGCCUGAAAAAAAAAAAAAUACGCUUUAUACUAUUUGCAUGUGUGUUUAAGAGGUGUCCUUCUCUAAUUCUUUUAUCACCCUCUCCCUUGGUUUUAUACUAUGGGUUAAUUAUUUUGCACUGAUAGUCCAGAUUCAAUAUUUCAAUUAAAAUGUAUUUAUAAAUGUGGUCUUCAAGGUGUAUAUUAGCAGAAAUGAAGUGCUUAUGUGUAUGAUCUGAAAAGAUGUAUCCAUCUUUUGUAUUGCUUCUAGUAGAUAAGACACUUCCUCACCUCACAUAUUUAAUUGACUACAGUAGUCAUAGUCUUGGCAAGGAGAGCCUGGAUACUGGUCAACAGUGUAAGUGUUUCUGUUACUUGAAGAAUAUUAUAAGAUUUAUUCCAGGUUUUUGCUGAAAGUUAGUAAUAUGGCUUUUACAAUGGAAUAAUUCAUAGAGAAAAAAUAUAUUUGUAGCAUGUAAAAGGAGCAUAUAGCUUAAAGUAUUAAUUGCAUCUGGAUAUGAAUGUAUUUACUUGAUACUACUUUAAAAACUUUUCGUUCUUCAACAUUAUGAGGGAUGAAGAUCUGUCUGGAACUAUUUUUUACAUGAAACAAUAAAACCAUUUUUUUUUUCAUGAGAUGAAAACAAGGGAGUUGCACUACAUAUGACAAAAUAUAUUUACAUCAUAGACUGAUGCCUUGUAUUUUGUCUAAAAGUGCUGAUCCUAAGUUAAUAUGGGGAUAUUACCUGGACAGAUUCUCUCCUGAUAAAACUGUUGUGCUUUCUCAACAACUAAAAACAAGAAAGCACACAAUUUUUUUUUUUUUUUUUUAAUUCUUUAUUCUUUGGGUUUAUGCACGGUUGCUUGCUGAUACCUGACCUACAUCACAAUUAAAGAAUAGUCCUUGAUUCUUCAUCUUUUCCUCUCUUCUUUAGUUACAUAAUUACAUGGUUCCAUCCUUCUAAAAUUGAAGUCUAUCUAAAGAUAUCUAAAGCAAACAAAUUAAUAUUUUUACAAAUCAGCAGCAAAUUUUUCUGUGUAACUAUAUGCAUUAUUUUUCAACAGACAGCUACGCAAAGACCAUUAUUUUUGAGUAUUAAAUGGACAAACCAUGUGAUUAUGUGAUGCAACUUGCAAGAAAUCAAGUUUUAGUUACACUUAAAUUCUCCCAACUCAUUAAAUGGCAAGGAAAAUCUGUCUAGUGAGUGCUGGUUUAGAUAUGUGACAUCCAGUUUUAAAGCAUAGUAACUAAUAUUAUUAUGAACUAGUUUUCCUAAACACAUCAUCUUCAUUUCCAAACAACUUUCUCAUCUGUUGGUGAAAAUAUAGAUUAAUAAGGGAGUAGUGUUGUAAAUACAGCAAAGCAGAUUGUGUCACAACACCUAGUGUUAAUUGUUAAACCUUUCCCAGCUAUAUACACUAAACAAACAAACAAACAAAAAAAAACCAACAGAAGUAAAGCCAGAGGAGAAAAGGACAGCUGCAGAAUUGGACUUGCUUUGAUUUUCUCUUGCAUAUUGGCAUUUUUGUACACUACAAAUUAACUGCUAUUCCUGGUAUAGGCACCUGGCUUUCAGGGUGGUAGAAGUCCUGCAUGUAGCUACUUGAAAUCUUGAAUCUGCAUAUUUUAAUUGAUUCUUUACUACAGAAUAAAAAAGGAAGACCUUCUCUUUUUUGUAGGGAGUUCUUAAUGCUUAGGUUUUAGAGUAGCUAACUAAUCAGUUGUUUUUUUUAAUGUAAUCCAUAGCUCAGAUGAAAAGGGAGAUCUUUGAAAACAGUUUGUUUUCAUCUCAGAUUUUUCUGGGAGAAAAGUAAGUUUCACAAAAUCUGGCCAAAAAUAACCAGGGAAAAGUUUCGAAAGCUUGUUGUAAGUGCAUUGCAAACAUUUUUGUUCUUCUGAAAAUUAGGCACUAAAGGCACCCUUCUGCAAUUUAAUUGACAGGAUGAACUUCUUGGGCUACAUGGGGAUGACUUAGUAAUGUACAAAUGCUUCUAAAUUGUUUGACAUCCAGCUCCUAUGAAUCCAAAUUUAUCUGAGUCCAUUAUACAUUAUUGAUCUGAGGAAAGUGUUGGGAAGGAGGGAUGAGGAUAAGCUAGAUUUUGGUUCUGUUUUUUGUCAAUAUAAACAGAAGAAGUAGCAUUUUGCUCACUUGCGAAACUCUUGCCUCCACAUACUCUUUCUAGUACCUCAACAGCCAGUGUUCAGGAGUUUAUUCUUCUGUGGAUAUUUUGUGAUUCCCACGUACAACCUGAGGAAAACAUUUGCAGAUCAGCACUAACUUCAAAACAUGUGAUUUGUGCACAAAAUGAGGAUGUAGAGCAACCUGAUAACAGAAGUGGAUGCAAACAAUGAAUUUCAGGUACACCAAAGAACUUAGAAAGUUUAUAUUGAAAGAAAAAUUAUCAAAGAGAAACUUCCUUAAAUUGUUUCCAUAAGGAUGUUGAACUGCAGCCAGUUGUGCUAAGAUACUACCUUGCACCUUUCACCCAGCUAUAAAUCAGUCACAUAUACAGCUUGUGUGCUCACAUGCGAAGAGCUGGGUUUUUUGUGGAAUUGAAACAACAAAUGAGGUCUUAAAUGUUUAAAAUCAGAAUUCUUAAGUUAAAAAGCUUUUCCUUAUUAAUUAUAUUCUGGCACAUCACCAAAUCCUGACAACUUUGAAAACCUUUUAGGCCUAGGAGACUGGUGUGGUUGAAGUGUUGGCGCAGUCAUUUGUUCCAGCUUUUACAUGUUACCAGAAGCAUCUGUAUGUUACUUAUAAUCAUAGCCUGUCUUCAAAUUUCAUGUAACUCAAGUUUAGACAAUACAAUUGUAAUGGAAAGUAUUUUAUUUACUAUAUGUGUUUCAAACUAAAUCAAUUUUGCAAGUAACUUAGUCUUGUUCCUUGUGGAAUUUCACAUUGGUUAAGCUCAAGCUACAUUGCACUUGUGAAUAAGUAAUAUUCUAUUUUAACUGUGAAUUAAUGGCUGUUUGUAUUGCUGCAGCUAAAAGAAUAUACCUUUCAUUGAGUUUACUGCUUUCCUUGAAUAACUGCAAAAUAGGGGAUAUUUUCAAAAUGUAUAUUAAAUUAGAUAAUAGAAGUUAUAUUUUUAAAACAAAUUGUUAAAAUGUAAGGAGCUGAAGAAUCCACUCAGUAGUUUUUUCUUUCUAAAACUUUUAAUUCAACAAUUAUUGCAAUGCAGAUAACUCCUAUUUUAUUUACAGUAAGCAGGUAAUCUUAUUCACAUAAUUGUAUCAUUUUCAACAAAAGGGUUCUUUUUUUCUUUCAACUAAUAAAAAUCUUAAAAUGCAGUCUGUAUAUCCACUUUUCACUAUGUAUCUUUUUAAAAACAAACACCCUUUUGACUUGUAAGAGUUGAAACUGAAUGGUUGGAUUGGAUUCUAGUUCUGUAGUCUCCUGUGCUGUAUAUUGUGAUGCAUACAUGAGAGGAUCGGAUGGCGUUUUUAUUUGUUCUUUCAGUCUGCAUCAACCAAUGGUGCAAAUAAAAGGGAUUGUUUGCUGUUGUUCAGAAGCACAUUAAACUCCUAUGAGGAGCUCAAAAUAAACUAUAUAGUUACAAGGAUGAAAUGAUGUAGUGUGAAUAAAUUAUUAAUCUAUUAAGUGAGCUGGGAAGCUUAAUGCAAUAAAAUUUGCACUGGUUUAGAGACUGUAUUGAACUGUUGAAAAAUGGCAUCCAUUUACUGUGCUUUGAUUAACAAUUGUUUCUCUGUAAUAUUUUCUGUACAUUUGACAAAAAUUUGAGUUUAAAAGGGCACUCUAUAUCCUGAAUUCUGUAUAGAUAUUCUAGACUAAGAAACAAUUUUUAAUGUUGUUCCAAAAAUGAAAUAUAUAUGCAUCCUGUG